rnacentral:rRNA from 1 species
UACGUAGGGUGCUAGCGUUGUCCGGAUUUAUUGGGCGUAAAGAGCUCGUAGGCGGUUUGUUGCGUCUAUCGUGAAAACCUGCAGCUUAGCUGUGGGCUUGCGGUGGAUACGGGCAGACUUGAGUUCGGUAGGGGAGACUGGAAUUCCUGGUGUAGCGGUGAAAUGCGCAGAUAUCAGGAGGAACACCGGUGGCGAAGGCGGGUCUCUGGGCCGAUACUGACGCUGAGGAGCGAAAGCGUGGGGAGCGAACAGG